GGCUCUGGCUCAUUAGCAGAAGGACUCCCAAACCACUAACCAAGUUUUUCUGGAAGUGAUGUAGAAUCAUUCAGAGAAAGACAAGUUGCUGCCUCAAGGACCUCACUUGUCUCAUUCUAAAUGCUGCCCUAAAAGGGCUGGGACUCCAAAUUCCAGGUGCAAGCCAUGUUUCCCUAAUAUCUUCAUACUUAGUGAAGCCAAGGAUGAUAUUCCUCCUGCUCUGAGGACCAGGUGCUCUCCGGCACCUCUGCAUUGAUUUUGGGAUUUACACAAGACUUGGGUGAUGCACAGACCUUGAAAUGAAAGAGAGGAAUGAGUCUUAGUGAGCAAAGCUGCGAGGGAUUUCUAAAUUACAUCCUCUCCUCUUCUGUUCCCCUUUCCUUUUCCUCCUCCCACUCUUUCUUUAUUUGAUACCACAGCUCUGCCAAGUGGAGGAGAGCUAAAUUGGAUCCCAUCCUGACUGACAGGAGUGGGAACAGCCCAGAGCUGGAGCUAAGGGCACAUCUGCUGCUGCCAUGGGGUCUGGAGGGUGUCAGAAGUGAAGAGAAAGUGCAUAAAAACCCCUUCCUCUGAAGGCAGCUGCUGUUAACAGCUUUCAGGCCUGAUCUGCUGCUCCUACUUGGAUGUUCUUGAUGAAAGGCAAACAGAAGCCACUCACAAGAAUGGGGAGAUUUCCAAGUGCUGCAGAGGGACCAAUUUUGCUUUGGAACUCCCAGGAAACAGAAAUGGGGAGAUCCACUCUGAGGCAUUGCAUGAAUUGAAAUUAUCAGGCGAGGUAAGGGAAAGAAAGCAGAAUAAAUCCUCACAUAUCGAGAGGGCUCCUCCUUGUUCUGGUCGUUCAUGUCCGUGGGGAUGCUCCUUGUGGCCAUGGGC